AUGCUGGUGAGAGAGCUGGCAGUGUUAAACACACAGAUUUGCACAAUGGAGCAGCCCAUUAUUAUCUGUUUCACUCCUGCUAGGAGGAUGGUAUGGGAGGAACUGUCCUCUCAAAUUGAACAGGAAUUCAUUCAUAUGCAGCCUGCCUUCUCCAAGGCCAAACCAGUCUACUACCUCACCCUUGCUUGGAGAAUGCUAGUAACAGAGCUUGCAGUGUUAAACACACAGACUUCCAAUUUGGUUACGGAGGAGCCUACCCUUCACCUUACAGAAGCUGGGAGGCUAGUGCUUGACGAACUGUCAGCACCUUCAGAUUGCCAUUCACAGGUAGCUGUUAGCAGUUGAUGUUACUCUUCAAUCACACUGACCCCAAAUCAAAUAAAGGGGUGGAAAACAGGUUUAUUCUCAUUCAAAGAGGAUGAAUCAUGUGGGGAGGUAGAUGGUAGAUGUUCAUGCUCCCCUGUCCUCAGUGAUUCUCCCCAGUGAUUCUCUUCAGUGAUUAUCUCCACAGAACAAAGAAACAGGAUGUAAUUUAUAACCCCCCCACCCUAGCCUGAGGCUGACCAAUUAGAAGUCCUUGCAAAACAACUGGACCAAUGGCCAAAUAACAAGUAUCCUGCUCCAGACUCAGACCAAUGAAAACAUAGCACACAUAGCUAUGAGUUCAGGAUGUCACUCAUAGCUAUGUGUGCUAUGUUUUCAUUGGUCUGAGUCUGGAGCAGGAUACUUGUUAUUUGGCAAUUUGAAAAAUUUCUAAACAGAUGUUGACCUGAAAAACAACUAUUUCCAUUGAUCGUUAAUUCUAAUCCUCUCGUCCUCUGCGUUGUGUAUUUAUCUUCAACAUAUUCUUACAUAGCCAAUCACAUUAUUAGACAGUCAUAGAUGAUUAGUAAUAGUACACAUGAACAUGUCCUCUAUCGCCACAAUUUUGUAUCUUAUUAAUCACAGAGCAAUCUCUAAUAUUAGGUGAUGUUUUUUUUUUUGCAGCCAAAUAGUGAAGACUCCUUUUCCUUAUGGGAAAUUGCAGCUGGUUGGGAACUGGGGUUCGUUUCAUUUUCAUUACUGGAAGAUCCAUUAUGGAUGAGUGCUGGUACUUCAGCCAUAUUCUUAACAUUUCUAAACACAUCUGUGUAUUUGAACUCCCAAUUGUCUCUGGGGUUUCUUUUGUAUGUCUGGCCCUAAUUGAAACCUAGGGGAAACUUGUCGUACGAACAUCAUGCCAGGGAUUACACUGAAAUCGUCUGCCAAAUGAUAUGAACAUCUACAGCUAACAUAUAGAGAGAGGUCUGGAGUCUGAAGGCAUUUUUUCUUGUUAGCAAAAUGAAGAGGACAUGCAUCACCUGUGCAUUUUGAGUGUAGUGGAGAAGCAGCUGUGGUGGAGCAGAGUCAUUCAGGAAAAAAUCCUGGACCCAUGGGUGAGAGAUCCUCAACUGAUCUUUCCUCUGAAAUGCACCUGAUUUGUGUCAAAUGAUGCACAAACUAUAGGUCUACUUAUAUUUCCUGCCUGAAAUGUAAUGUUUCCCUGUGUCUCUUUUAAAGGGUCUCGUCCAGGUGGUCUUCAACAACAAGGAGGUGACUGGUAUUAAGGUGCAGUCAAGCACUUUUUCACUGAAUAAGUGGCAAAGGUCCAUUUACCUAUUUGCAUAAAUACAUGUUGACAGAAAAUGAAAUGAUACAUUCUAAUCUCUUGCCUCAUUUUUAUUACCUUGGUAGAAGGAGGAGGUCAGAGUUCACCUAUUAUGAGGACGCCCAGGUUUAUUUCAGAGUUUGGUUGGGGGGUUCUCAAUAUGGUGGUUUUCACAGUGUUGGGCUGGCAGUGUCACAUGUUGUGUGUUAAACAGCAGGUGGAUAUCUCCACCACGGUGGAGCGGUUCCAGGAGAUGAGAUGACGGCAUAUCAACUCUCCACCUC
rnacentral:lncRNA from 13 species